AAUCAACGCUGGCGGCGUGCCUCAGACAUGCAAGUCGAACGAUUAAAGCUCUCUUCGGAGAGUGUAUAGAGUGGCGCACGGGUGAGUAACACGUAAGUAAUCUACCCUCGAGUGGGGAAUAACAACCGGAAACGGUUGCUAAUACCGCAUAAUGCAGCGGCACCGCAAGGUGACAGUUGUUAAAGAUUUAUCGCUUGAGGAGGAGCUUGCGGCAGAUUAGCUAGUUGGUAGGGUAACGGCUUACCAAGGCUACGAUCUGUAACCGGUCUAAGAGGACGGUCGGUCACACUGACACUGAAUAACGGGUCAGACUCCUACGGGAGGCAGCAGUCGGGAAUUUUGGGCAAUGGGCGAAAGCCUGACCCAGCAACGCCGCGUGAAGGAUGAAGUAUUCGGUAUGUAAACUUCGAAAGAAUAGGAAGAAUUAAUGACGGUACUAUUUAUAAGGUCCGGCUAACUACGUGCCAGCAGCCGCGGUAAU
rnacentral:rRNA from 1 species